GAGACCACCACGAUGACUUGUAAGCAACUCACUAUACUGUAGUACUGGACUAUCUGAGUUUCUAACUUAGUGACAGAAGGAUACUAGGUGCAGUCAAGUACUUAUCAAGUCUGUGUGUGAGUCAAGAUGGAAUUGACCCCUCUGAAUUGAUAGGCAAUAUGCAUAAGUGUAUUUUAAUUUAGCAAAACCUUUGUCAGGAUAAUCCAUGAGAUGGAUUUGAAAGGUUGAAAUAUAAUAUGUUGGAGCACGAUCCCGGCUACUCCCACGGACCUUGGGUGCAGUGGAACCAGCAACGAAUAGAUCUGGAGACUUCUGGACUCGAUCCAAGGCCCUUGACGAAAUCAGCCUGGUUGUUGUCUUCUUCGUCAACCUUUCGUUCCAGAUGAAGAAUGCCUCUGAUCUCACCUCUAAAAAAUCCAAGAUCUAAUACCCAAC
rnacentral:lncRNA from 1 species